rnacentral:misc_RNA from 1 species
UUUUGUUCGUCUCGUUCAGUAGUAGCGUCAAUCUCGUUUAUCGAGUUUGUAGAAUUGUGAAGUGUUGAUUAAAGAUAUAUAAUUAUUAAAUUUAUCAUAAAAUUAUUAUUUUAGAUAAUAAAAACGUCCGAAGAAAUGUCUGAAUCGGAUCUUUUAGCUGCUGAUCACAUUGAUGGUCUAGAUGGACUUGAAAAUGGUCAAGAUGGAGAUGCCAUUAUGCAAUGUGAUGGUGUAAAACGUGAAUUAAAUGAAGCAAAUAUUGAUGAUCCGGAAUUAGAAGCUAUUAAAGCACGUGUUAGAGAAAUGGAAGAAGAAGCAGAAAAAUUAAAACAAUUACAAUCUGAAGUGGACAAACAAAUGAAUAUGGGUAGUCCACCUGGAAUAACAAGUCCAUUAAAUAUGUCACUUGAAGACAAAAUGGAAGUUGAUAAUAGAUCCAUUUAUGUUGGUAAUGUUGAUUAUGGCGCUACAGCAGAAGAAUUAGAACAACAUUUUCAUGGCUGUGGCAGUGUUAAUAGAGUAACAAUAUUGUGCAAUAAAUUUGAUGGACAUCCCAAAGGUUUUGCUUAUAUAGAAUUUGCAGAACGUGAUUCUGUACAAACAGCUAUGGCUAUGGAUGAAUCUAUGUUUAGAGGACGUCAAAUUAAAGUAAUGCCUAAAAGAACAAAUAAUUUAUAGGGGACCACGAGGAACACGAGGCUACCGAGGUAUAGCCAGAGGAAUCAUACGUGGUAGUGCAUAUUUUGGAUAUAGACCUAUAAGGCGACCUAGGAGCUACAGACGAGGAUAUUAUAUGCCGUAUUGACCGUUUUAAUAUAUUGUAUUGGAAUUUUACAAUUGAGAAAAAAAAACUGAUACGAUGG